rnacentral:rRNA from 1 species
AUACGGAGGAUCCGAGCGUUAUCCGGAUUUAUUGGGUUUAAAGGGAGCGUAGGUGGAUUGUUAAGUCAGUUGUGAAAGUUUGCGGCUCAACCGUAAAAUUGCAGUUGAAACUGGCAGUCUUGAGUACAGUAGAGGUGGGCGGAAUUCGUGGUGUAGCGGUGAAAUGCUUAGAUAUCACGAAGAACUCCGAUUGCGAAGGCAGCUCACUAGACUGUUACUGACACUGAUGCUCGAAAGUGUGGGUAUCAAACAGGAUUAGAUACCCUGGUAGUCCACACAGUAAACGAUGAAUACUCGCUGUUUGCGAUAUACGGCAAGCGGCCAAGCGAAAGCAUUAAGUAUUCCACCUGGGGAGUACGCCGGCAACGGUGAAACUCAAAGGAAUUGACGGGG